rnacentral:rRNA from 1 species
AUGAAUGCUGGCGGCGUGCCUAAUACAUGCAAGUCGAGCGGUAACAGGGGGUCUCACCGUCCUUGACACACCUAGCGCUAUAUCGUAGGUGUGAAACUUCGAGGGAACAGUGAGAUCCUGCUGACGAGCGGCGGACGGCUGAGUAACGCGUGGGAAGGACCCCAAACUGAGGGGAUAACUAGUCGAAAGAUUAGCUAAUACCGCAUGUGAUCUUCGGAUUAAAGGAUUUAUCCGGUUUGGGACUGGCCUGCGUACGAUUAGAUAGUUGCGGGGUAAUAGCCCACCAAGUCGACGAUCGUUAGAUGGUUUGAGAAGAUGAUCAUCCAGACUGGGACUGAGACACGGCCCAGACUCCUACGGGAGGCAGCAGUAGGGAAUCUUUCACAAUGGGCGAAAGCCUGAUGGAGCAACGCCGCGUGCAGGAUGACGGCCUUCGGGUUGUAAACUGCUUUUAUAACCGAGAAAUAUGAUGGUAAGUUAUGAAUAAGGACCGGCUAACUACGUGCCAGCCGCUGC